UACAGAGGUCUCAAGCGUUGUUCGGAAUCACUGGGCGUAAAGGGUGCGUAGGCGGAACGCCAAGUCAGAUGUGAAAGACCGGGGCUCAACCCCGGAACGGCAUCCGAUACUGGCGAUCUAGAGGGCUCGAGGGAGGUGGAAUUCCACGUGUAGCAGUGAAAUGCGUAGAGAUGUGGAGGAACACCGAUGGCGAAGGCAGCCUCCUGGGCCAGCACUGACGCUCAUGCACGAAAGCGUGGGGAGCGAACAGG
rnacentral:rRNA from 1 species